rnacentral:tRNA from 1 species
UAGGGUGUAGUAUAAUUGGUAGUACGCGAGAGUUUGAGUCUUGUAGUGUGGGUUCGUAUCCCGGCGCCUUAG